rnacentral:tRNA from 1 species
UGGGUUGUAGCUCAGUGGUGGAGUACUUGCUUAGCAUGUGUGAGACCUGAGUUUCAUCCUCAGCACCACAU